rnacentral:rRNA from 1 species
UACGAAUGUGGCGAGCGUUGUUCGGAAUCACUGGGCGUAAAGAGUACGUAGGCGGCUUGAUAAGUCAGGAGUGAAAUCCCCAGGCUCAACCUGGGAAUUGCUCUUGAAACUAUCUCGCUAGAAACACGGAGAGGUUGGCGGAAUUCCAAGUGUAGAGGUGAAAUUCGCAGAUAUUUGGAGGAACACCAGUGGCGUAAGCGGCCAACUGGACGUGUAUUGACGCUGAGGUACGAAAGCGUGGGGAUCAAACAGG